rnacentral:misc_RNA from 1 species
GAAAUGCGAUACGUAGUGUGAAUCGCAGGGAUCAGUGAAUCAUCGAAUCUUUGAACGCAUGUUGCGCUCUCGUGGUUACCCCCCGGGAGCACGUUUGCUUGAGUGCCGCUUCUUUUUCUCUCUUUACACAUAUAUAUAUAUAUGAUGUGUAAGAUACGGAUUUUGCUGCUGCUGCUGCUGCUACUGCUGUCAGUAGCGCGCACGUGCAGCAUGAUCUUAGAAAGAGAGCAGCUUCACAAUCAAAAAGAAGCACACACAACACAUCU